AAAAGCGUCGGUAAGCUGAUAUGAAGCGUUAUAACCGACGAUACCCGAAUGGGGAAACCCAGUGCAAUACGUUGCACUAUCGUUAGAUGAAUACAUAGUCUAACGAGGCGAACCGGGGGAACUGAAACAUCUAAGUACCCCGAGGAAAAGAAAUCAACCGAGAUUCCCCCAGUAGCGGCGAGCGAACGGGGAGGAGCCCAGAGUCUGAAUCAGUUUGUGUGUUAGUGGAAGCGUCUGGAAAGUCGCACGGUACAGGGUGAUAGUCCCGUACACCAAAAUGCACAGGCUGUGAACUCGAUGAGUAGGGCGGGACACGUGACAUCCUGUCUGAAUAUGGGGGGACCAUCCUCCAAGGCUAAAUACUCCUGACUGACCGAUAGUGAACCAGUACCGUGAGGGAAAGGCGAAAAGAACCCCGGCGAGGGGAGUGAAAUAGAACCUGAAACCGUGUACGUACAAGCAGUGGGAGCACCUUCGUGGUGUGACUGCGUACCUUUUGUAUAAUGGGUCAGCGACUUAUAUUUUGUAGCAAGGUUAACCGAAUAGGGGAGCCGUAGGGAAACCGAGUCUUAACUGGGCGUCUAGUUGCAAGGUAUAGACCCGAAACCCGGUGAUCUAGCCAUGGGCAGGUUGAAGGUUGGGUAACACUAACUGGAGGACCGAACCGACUAAUGUUGAAAAAUUAGCGGAUGACUUGUGGCUGGGGGUGAAAGGCCAAUCAAACCGGGAGAUAGCUGGUUCUCCCCGAAAGCUAUUUAGGUAGCGCCUCGUGAACUCAUCUUCGGGGGUAGAGCACUGUUUCGGCUAGGGGGCCAUCCCGGCUUACCAAACCGAUGCAAACUCCGAAUACCGAAGAAUGUUAUCACGGGAGACACACGGCGGGUGCUAACGUCCGUCGUGAAGAGGGAAACAACCCAGACCGCCAGCUAAGGUCCCAAAGUCAUGGUUAAGUGGGAAACGAUGUGGGAAGGCACAGACAGCCAGGAUGUUGGCUUAGAAGCAGCCAUCAUUUAAAGAAAGCGUAAUAGCUCACUGGUCGAGUCGGCCUGCGCGGAAGAUGUAACGGGGCUAAACCAUGCACCGAAGCUGCGGCAGCGACACUUAGGUGUUGUUGGGUAGGGGAGCGUUCUGUAAGCCGUUGAAGGUGACCUGUGAGGGUUGCUGGAGGUAUCAGAAGUGCGAAUGCUGACAUAAGUAACGAUAAUGCGGGUGAAAAACCCGCACGCCGGAAGACCAAGGGUUCCUGUCCAACGUUAAUCGGGGCAGGGUGAGUCGACCCCUAAGGCGAGGCUGAAAAGCGUAGUCGAUGGGAAACAGGUUAAUAUUCCUGUACUUGGUGUUACUGCGAAGGGGGGACGGAGAAGGCUAGGCUGGCCGGGCGACGGUUGUCCCGGUUUAAGCGUGUAGGGGGAGUGACCAGGUAAAUCCGGUUGCUUAUCAACCCUGAGGCGUGAUGACGAUGCACCACGGUGCAGAAGCAGUUGAUGCCAUGCUUCCAGGAAAAGCCUCUAAGCAUCAGGUAACAUUAAAUCGUACCCCAAACCGACACAGGUGGUCAGGUAGAGAAUACUCAGGCGCUUGAGAGAACUCGGGUGAAGGAACUAGGCAAAAUGGUGCCGUAACUUCGGGAGAAGGCACGCUGGCGUUAGGUGAAAGGACUAGCUCCUGGAGCUGAAGCCAGUCGCAGAUACCAGCUGGCUGCAACUGUUUAAUAAAAACACAGCACUGUGCAAACACGAAAGUGGACGUAUACAGUGUGACGCCUGCCCGGUGCUGGAAGGUUAAUUGAUGGGGUCAGCCGCAAGGCGAAGCUCUUGAUCGAAGCCCCAGUAAACGGCGGCCGUAACUAUAACGGUCCUAAGGUAGCGAAAUUCCUUGUCGGGUAAGUUCCGACCUGCACGAAUGGCGUAAUGAUGGCCAGGCUGUCUCCACCCGAGACUCAGUGAAAUUGAACUCGCUGUGAAGAUGCAGUGUACCCGCGGCAAGACGGAAAGACCCCGUGAACCUUUACUAUAGCUUGACACUGAACAUUGAGCCUUGAUGUGUAGGAUAGGUGGGAGGCCUUGAAGUGUGGACGCCAGUCUGCAUGGAGCCAACCUUGAAAUACCACCCUUUAAUGUUUGAUGUUCUAACUCGGCCCCAUGAUCUGGGGUGAGGACAGUGUCUGGUGGGUAGUUUGACUGGGGCGGUCUCCUCCCAAAGAGUAACGGAGGAGCACGAAGGUUAGCUAAUCACGGUCGGACAUCGUGAGGUUAGUGCAAAGGCAUAAGCUAGCUUGACUGCGAGAGUGACGGCUCGAGCAGGUACGAAAGUAGGUCUUAGUGAUCCGGUGGUUCUGAAUGGAAGGGCCAUCGCUCAACGGAUAAAAGGUACUCCGGGGAUAACAGGCUGAUACCGCCCAAGAGUUCAUAUCGACGGCGGUGUUUGGCACCUCGAUGUCGGCUCAUCACAUCCUGGGGCUGAAGUAGGUCCCAAGGGUAUGGCUGUUCGCCAUUUAAAGUGGUACGCGAGCUGGGUUUAGAACGUCGUGAGACAGUUCGGUCCCUAUCUGCCGUGGGCGUUGGAAGAUUGAGAGGGGCUGCUCCUAGUACGAGAGGACCGGAGUGGACGAAUCACUGGUGUUCGGGUUGUCAUGCCAAUGGCAUUGCCCGGUAGCUAAAUUCGGAAGAGAUAACCGCUGAAAGCAUCUAAGCGGGAAACUUGCCUCGAGAUGAGUCUUCCCUGGGGCUUAAAGCCCCCUGAAGGAACGUUAAAGACUAUGACGUUGAUAGGCUGGGUGUGUAAGUGCAGCGAUGUAUUGAGCUAACCAGUACUAAUGAUCCGUGAGGCUUAACCUUACAACACCGAAGGUGUUU
rnacentral:rRNA from 1 species